GAUGAACGCUGGCGGCGUGCCUAAUACAUGCAAGUCGAGCGAACAGACGAGGAGCUUGCUCCUUUGACGUUAGCGGCGGACGGGUGAGUAACACGUGGGUAACCUACCUAUAAGACUGGGAUAACUUCGGGAAACCGGAGCUAAUACCGGAUAAUAUUUCGAACCGCAUGGUUCGAUAGUGAAAGAUGGCUUUGCUAUCACUUAUAGAUGGACCUGCGCCGUAUUAGCUAGUUGGUAAGGUAACGGCUUAGCAAGGCAACGAUACGUAGCCGACCUGAGAGGGUGGUCGGCCACACUGGAACUGAGACACGGCACAGACACCUACGGUAGGCAACAGUAGAGAAUCUUCCGCGAUGGGCGAGAGCCUGACAGAGCAACGCCGGCUAAAUGAUGAAGCUCUUCGGAUCGGAGAACGCUGUUGUUAGGGGAGAACAAAAGUGUAAGUACCCGUGCACAUAUUGACGGUACCGAAUCAGAAAGCCACGGCUAACUACGUG
rnacentral:rRNA from 1 species